rnacentral:rRNA from 1 species
CCGUUCGCUCCCCUAGCUUUCGCGCCUCAGCGUCAGUAUCAGCCCAGCAACCCGCCUUCGCCGCAGGUGUUCCUCUCGAUAUCUACGCAUUUCACCGCUACACCGAGAAUUCCAGUUGCCCCUUCUGUACUCUAGUCCGACAGUAUCACUUGACCUUUCCGAGUUAAGCCCGGAGAUUUCACAAGUGACUUGUCACGACCGCCUACGCGCCCUUUACGCCCAGUAAAUCCGAACAACGCUUGCUCCCCCCGUAUUACCGCGGCUGCUGGCACGGAGUUAGCCGGAGCUUACAAACAGUACCGUCAUCAUGGGGGGUAUUGUCCCCCACUUAUUCUUCCUGUUCUUACGAAGUUUACAUCCCGAGGGAUUUCAUCCUUCACGCGGCGUUGCUGGGUCAGGCUUUCGCCCAUUGCCCAAAAUUCCCGACUGCUGCCUCCCGUAGGAGUCUGACCCGUAUGUCAGUGUCAGUGUGACCGACCGCCCUCUCAGGCCGGUUACGGAUCGUCGCCUUGGUAGGCCAUUACCCUACCAACAAGCUAAUCCGCCGCAGGCUUCUCUUCAGGCGCGAGGUCUUGCGAUCCCCCGCUUUAACAACUGUCUCGAUGUCGAGCCGCUGCAUUAUGCGGUAUUA